rnacentral:tRNA from 1 species
GGCCCGUUGGUCUAGGGGUAUGAUUCUCGCUUUGGGUGCGAGAGGUCCCUGGUUCAAAUCCCGGACGGGCCC